AUUGAACGCUGGCGGUAGGCUUAACACAUGCAAGUCGUGCGAGAAAGUAUCUUCGGAUAUGAGUAGAGCGGCGGACGGGUGAGUAACGCGUAGGAAUCUACCUAGUAGAAGGGGAUAGCCCGGGGAAACUCGGAUUAAUACCGUAUACCUCCUUUGGGAGAAAGAAGGCCUCUCUUUGAAGCUUUCGCUAUUAGAUGAGCCUGCGUAAGAUUAGCUUGUUGGUGAGGUAAAGGCUCACCAAGGCUACGAUCUUUAGCGGGUCUGAGAGGACGAUCCGCCACAUUGGGACUGAGACACGGCCCAGACUCCUACGGGAGGCAGCAGUGGGGAAUAUUGGACAAUGGGCGCAAGCCUGAUCCAGCCAUACCGCGUGUGUGAAGAAGGCCCUAGGGUUGUAAAGCACUUUAAGUUGGGAAGAAAAGUCAUUGGUUAAUACCCAAUGACC
rnacentral:rRNA from 1 species